rnacentral:rRNA from 1 species
GACGAACGCUGGCGGCGUGCUUAACACAUGCAAGUCGUACGGUAAGGCCCUUUCGGGGGUACACGAGUGGCGAACGGGUGAGUAACACGUGAGUAACCUGCCCACAACUUUGGGAUAACGCUAGGAAACUGGUGCUAAUACUGGAUAUGUGCUCCUGCUGCAUGGUGGGGGUUGGAAAGCUCCGGCGGUUGUGGAUGGACUCGCGGCCUAUCAGCUUGUUGGUGGGGUAGUGGCCUACCAAGGCGGCGACGGGUAGCCGGCCUGGGAGGGGGACCGGCCACAUUGGGACUGAGAUACGGCCCAGACUCCUACGGGAGGCAGCAGUGGGGAAUAUUGCACAAUGGGCGCAAGCCUGAUGCAGCAACGCCGCGGGCGGGAUGACGGCCUUCGGGUUGUAAACCGCUUUCAGCAGGGACGAAGCUUUUUGUGACGGUACCUGCAGAAGAAGCACCGGCUAACUACGUG